rnacentral:lncRNA from 1 species
UUUUGAAGAGUACAGACAAAUCAAAACCCAAACUGCCUUUGGUCCAAUUCUUUGAUCCACCAAUAAUCUCCUCACCAAAGCCAAACCCAGAAAGGUUGUCAUGAUGACCAUAUAGCUGGGAUACAUCACAUCCUCAUCCAACCCAUAAUAGUAUAUGCUAGAGUAACUAAAGAACCGAUUCUCAAUGUAACAUAGCAGCAAUGCAUGGCUGAUCAAACCAACCUCAGUCAAGAAAUGAAGUUUUGAUGGAAGAAGAGCUAAACCAGGAAUGACCAUGGCCAGGACAACAUCCACAAGAAUGAGCUUACAGAAGGAUUUCAAAG